rnacentral:snRNA from 1 species
GUGCUCACUUCAGCACCACAUAUACUAAAAUACAAUUAGCAUGGCCCUGGGCAAGGAUGACACACAAAUUCAUGAAGCAUUCUGCAUUUUU